rnacentral:rRNA from 1 species
UACCAGCUCUCCGAGUGGCGAGGACGAUUAUUGGGCCUGAAGCAUCCGUAGCCGGCUGGGCAAGUCCCCUGUUAAACCCAGCGAUCUAAUCGCUGGCCUGCGGGGGAUACUGCUCGGCUAGGGGGCGGGAGAGGCCGUCGGUAUUCUUGGGGUAGGGGUGAAAUCCUAUAAUCCCAGGAGGACCACCAGUGGCGAAGGCUGUCGGCUAGAACGCGCUCGACGGUGAGGGAUGAAAGCUGGGGGAGCGAACCGGAUUAGAUACCCGGGUAGUCCCAGCUGUAAACGAUGCAGGCUAGGUGUUAGGGCGGCCACGUGCCGCCCUAGUGCCGCAGGGAAACUGUUAAGCCUGCCGCCUGGGGAGUACGGCCGCAAGGCUGAAACUUAAAGGAAUUGGCGGGGGAGCACCACAAGGGGUGAAGCUUGCGGUUUAAUUGGAGUCAACGCCGGAAAUCUCACCGGGGGCGACAGCAGAAUGAAGGCCAGAUUAAAGGUCUUGCCAGACGAGCUGAGAGGAGGUGCAUGGCCGUCGCCAGUUCGUGCCGUGAGGUGUCCUGUUAAGUCAGGCAACGAUCGAGACCCGCGCUCUCCGUUGCUAUUAGCCAUCGGCUAAGCACACUGGGAGGACCGCCGCUGAUAAAGCGGAGGAAGGAGCGGGCCACGGCAGGUCAGUAUGCCCCGAAUCUCCCGGGCCACACGCGAGCUGCAAUGGCAGGCACAAUGGGCUCCGACCUCGAAAGAGGGAGGCAAUCCUGAAAACCUGCCGUAGUUGGGAUCGAGGGCUGAAACCCGCCCUCGUGAACAUGGAAUCCCUAGUAAUCGCGUGUCACUAUCGCGCGGUGAAUACGUCCCUGCUCCU